rnacentral:lncRNA from 1 species
CCACAUUAGAUUAGGGUUUAGAAGAAGAAUUCACCUAUGUUUUGGGCCGCCAAUAUAGCAUAUUGGAUAAAUAACACGACACCACAUAUUUUAAUUUUUUCACAAUACAUCACGUGAAUCAUUUUGGACACCGUUACUUCAACGUCCUGUUUCACAUAAGUAUUUUCUUCGUGAAUAUACUGCACACCUGAUGACAUAACACCUCAUAAAC